UGCAAGCGCUGCGGAUUUGGCA
rnacentral:miRNA from 2 species